rnacentral:rRNA from 1 species
GACGAACGCUGGCGGCGUGCCUAAUACAUGCAAGUAGAACGCUGAAGAGAGGAGCUUGCUCUUCUUGGAUGAGUUGCGAACGGGUGAGUAACGCGUAGGUAACCUGCCUGGUAGCGGGGGAUAACUAUUGGAAACGAUAGCUAAUACCGCAUGAAAUUGCUUAUCGCAUGAUAAUUGAUUGAAAGAUGCAAUUGCAUCACUACCAGAUGGACCUGCGUUGUAUUAGCUAGUUGGUGAGGUAACGGCUCACCAAGGCGACGAUACAUAGCCGGCCUGAGAGGGUGAUCGGCCACACUGGGACUGAGACACGGCCCAGAAUCCUACGGGAGGCAGCAGUAGGGAAUCUUCGGCAAUAGGGGGAAACCUGACCGAGCAACGCCGCGUGAGUGAAGAAGGUUUUCGGAUCGUAAAGCUCUGUUGUAAGAGAAGAACGGGUGUGAGAGUGGAAAGUUCACACUGUGACGGUAUCUUACCAGAAAGGGACGGCUAACUACGUG